rnacentral:antisense_RNA from 1 species
AUUGCAGCAGGGCAGCCUCUCUGCUGCCUAUGUGAGGCGGCCCCCCCCAGCGCUAUAAAUAGACAGCCGUGAUCAGAGCCCCGGAAUAGCAGCCCGCGUGCCUGUCCCCAUCUUAGAGAGACAUCUGACCCCUGGUCCCUUGUGGAGCCCCUGCCGGGACCAUUAACCCGUUGGCUGCUGGCACCACCCCCACCUCCGCCUCCCGCACACCUGCAUCUGUCAGUCUGGGACUCUGGCCUUGUGGAUUCUGGUGUUUUGGAGGUCCUGGAUCCCAUCCCCCAAGGAUACAAAGGGACAGCUGUACUCGGGACUGGCAUCUGAAGUGGAGGACGCUCUUGUGGGACUGAGACCUUAGCCUGCAGGAUCGGGUACUGUCUCCAGGGAGAAAGUGUCACAAUGGAACAGGGUUGGAGGAUGCCCAGUGGGUGUCCGUGGGAGACUGGAUGGAGCAGGGUUGGAGGACGCCCAGUGGGUGUCUGCGGAGACUUGCUGGAGCAGGGUUGGAGGACGCCUAGUAGGUGUCCACUGGAGACUUGCUUGCUGUUUGGGGAAAAUCCCCACAUACGUUUUGGUGACCAGAGGUGAAGUAUUCCAUGUUGGAUGUUGACUGUUGAGUGUGUGAGAACAGGGAAAAUACUGUUUUUU